UGCCGGGUCGUCUAAUUGGCAGGACAUCUGACUCUGGAUCAGAGAGUUGGUGGUUCGAAUCCACCCCCGGCAGCCA
rnacentral:tRNA from 2 species